CCCUUAGAUGUUCUGGGCCGCACGCGUGCUACACUGAGUGGAUCAGCGGGUCAGGUUACGCGAGAGCGUUUCCUAAUCUUCAAAUCCGCUCGUGAUGGGGAUUGACGGUUGCAAUUUUCCGUCAUGAACGAGGAAUACCUUGUAAGCGCGGGUCAUCAUCCCGCGCUGAAUACGUCCCUGCCCUUUGUACACACCGCCCGUCGCUCCUACCGAUUGAGUGGUCCGGUGAGGCUUUGGGUUCUAAGCGAAAAGAGCGUUUCGCUCCUUUUGCUGGGAGAACUCAGUCGAACCUUAUCAUUUAGAGGAAGGAGAAGUCGUAACA
rnacentral:rRNA from 1 species